GGUCGUCAACGCCGCCGCCGUCCCCAGGUCCUCAGCGCCGCUGCUUCUUCCUCUUCCCCGUGUCCAGAACCCAGUUGCUCGGCAUGUCCUCUUCAUCUUCACUGGCUUCUCGGCAUGGAACCCAGGUUUAGUGUGGUUACUUUAUGCUUGUUUUAUAAUGUUUGUUGCUGGAUGAAGUGUGCUUCACUUGGCAUGCCUUGUAUCUGAUGUUGGAAUGGUGGAGCUGCUCUUACAAUUUAGAGGGAAGAUUGCAACUGCAAAAUUACUUAUUUUAAGGUAGUUAUGUCAGUAGUUCUUCUAUCUUUUAGAUGAUGUACUUUAUGCUCUAAAGUGCAACUUGCCAAAGGCUGCCCUAAGAGGAGACAAACCCAUUCGUCUUCAUACUGUGUGUCCUAUAUAUUAUAUGCCUUUGAAAUUA